rnacentral:pre_miRNA from 1 species
AGCCUUCUGUAUCCGUGCUGAGAUUUCGUCACACACAAAACCACAACAGAUGAUGAGACUCUAAAGAUAUGUGAAUCG